AGCGAACGCUGGCGGCAGGCCUAACACAUGCAAGUCGAACGGAUCCUUCGGGAUUAGUGGCGGACGGGUGAGUAACACGUGGGAACGUGCCCUUUGGUUCGGAACAACUCAGGGAAACUUGAGCUAAUACCGGAUGUGCCCUUCGGGGGAAAGAUUUAUCGCCAUUGGAGCGGCCCGCGUCUGAUUAGCUAGUUGGUGAGGUAAAGGCUCACCAAGGCGACGAGCAGUAGCUGGUCUGAGAGGAUGAACAGCCACAUUGGGACUGAGACACGGCCCAAACUCCUACGGGAGGCAGCAGUGGGGAAUCUUGCGCAAUGGGCGAAAGCCUGACGCAGCCAUGCCGCGUGAAUGAUGAAGGUCUUAGGAUUGUAAAAUUCUUUCACCGGGGACGAUAAUGACGGUACCCGGAGAAGAAGCCCCGGCCAACUUCGUGCCAGCCGCCGCCGCGG
rnacentral:rRNA from 1 species